GCUAGCGUUGUUCGGAAUUACUGGGCGUAAAGCGCGCGUAGGCGGCUUUGUAAGUCAGAGGUGAAAUCCCGGGGCUCAACUCCGGAACUGCCUUUGAAACUGCAUCGCUUGAAUCCGGGAGAGGUGAGUGGAAUUCCGAGUGUAGAGGUGAAAUUCGUAGAUAUUCGGAAGAACACCAGUGGCGAAGGCGGCUCACUGGACCGGUAUUGACGCUGAGGUGCGAAAGCGUGGGGAGCAAACAGG
rnacentral:rRNA from 1 species